UACAGAGGGGGCAAGCGUUAUUCGGAAUUAUUGGGCGUAAAGGGCGCGUAGGCGGCUUUGCAAGUGACGGGUGAAAUCCCUCGGCUUAACCGAGGAACUGCCUGUCAGACUGUGAGGCUUGAGACCGGGAGAGGUGAGUGGAAUUCCCGGUGUAGCGGUGAAAUGCGCAGAUAUCGGGAAGAACACCCAUGGCGAAGGCAGCUCUCUGGGACGGUACUGACGCUGAGACGCGAAAGCGUGGGGAGCGAACAGG
rnacentral:rRNA from 1 species